rnacentral:rRNA from 1 species
CAUGCAGGCGGUCGGACGCGUUUCCAGUGACAGCGGGUGGCUUACCUACCCGAGUAUUGGAAAGACGGUUUGACUUGAGGGCUCGAGAGGGACACGGAAUUCCGGGUGGAGUGGUGAAAUGCGUAGAGAUCCGGAGGAACAUCGAAGGCGAAGGCAGUGUCCUGGCGAGUGACUGACGCUGAGGUGCGAAAGCCAGGGGAGCGAACGGGAUUAGAUACCCCGGUAGUCCUGGCCGUAAACGAUGACCACCAGGUGUGGGGGGUAUCGACCCCUUCUGUGCCGGAGGAAACCCACUAAGUGGUCCGCCUGGGGAGUACGGUCGCAAGAUUAAA